rnacentral:rRNA from 1 species
GAUGAACGCUGGCGGCGUGCCUAAUACAUGCAAGUCGGGCGAACAGACGAGGAGCUUGCUCCUCUGACGUUAGCGGCGGACGGGUGAGUAACACGUGGAUAACCUACCUAUAAGACUGGGAUAACUUCGGGAAACCGGAGCUAAUCCCGGAUAAUAUAUUGAACCGCAUGGUUCAAUAGUGAAAGACGGUUUUGCUGUCACUUAUAGAUGGAUCCUCGCCGCAUUAGCUAGUUGGUAAGGUAACGGCUUACCAAGGCAACGAUGCGUAGCCGACCUGAGAGGGUGAUCGGCCACACUGGAACUGAGACACGGUCCAGACUCCUACGGGAGGCAGCAGUAGGGAAUCUUCCGCAAUGGGCGAAAGCCUGACGGAGCAACGCCGCGUGAGUGAUGAAGGUCUUCGGAUCGUAAAACUCUGUUAUUAGGGAAGAACAAAUGUGUAAGUAACUAUGCACGUCUUGACGGUACCUAAUCAGAAAGCCAGGGCUAACUACGUG